AAUUUUUGACAAUGGGGGCAACCCUGAUCCAGCCAUUCCGCGUGUGUGAAGAAGGNCUNNGGAUUNUNAAGCAUUUUAAGGUGNNNNNAAAGGCUGUUGGUUAAUUCCCUGAAGGUUUGACGUUUCCAACAGACUAAGCACCGGCUACCUCUGUGCCAGCAGCCGCGGUAAUACAGAGGGUGCAAGCGUUCAUGGGAAUUACUGUGCGUAAAGCGCGGGUAGGUGGUUCAGUAAGAAGGGUGUGGAAUACCCGGGCUUAACCUGGGAACAGCUUUCAUAAAUGCUGGGCUGGAGUACGGUAGAGGGUAGUGGAAUUUCCUGUGUAGCGGUGGAAUGAGUAAUUAUAGGAAGGAACAACAGUGGCGAAGGAGACUACCUGGACUGAUACUGACACUGAGGUGCGAAAGCGUGGGGAGCAAAC
rnacentral:rRNA from 1 species